rnacentral:rRNA from 1 species
UUCGGAAUGAACUUAAGUGAAUUAGUGGCGAACGGGUGAGUAACGCGUGAGUAACCUGCCUUACACAAGGGGAUAGCCUCUGGAAACGGAGAAUAAUACCCUAUGAAACUAUCUUAUCGCAUGAAAAGAUAGUCAAAGUGUUUUAGCGGUGUAAGAUGGACUUGCGUCUGAUUAGCUAGUUGGUGAGAUAACAGCCCACCAAGGCAACGAUCAGUAGCCGGCUUGAGAGAGUGUACGGCCACAUUGGGACUGAGACACGGCCCAGACUCCUACGGGAGGCAGCAGUGGGGAAUUUUGCACAAUGGGGGCAACCCUGAUGCAGCGACGCCGCGUGAUUUAGAAGGCCUUCGGGUUGUAAAAAUCUUUUGUAUAGGAAGAAAAUGACAGUACUAUACAA